GCACCGCUGAAGAGUCCCAUAAUAGGACGAAACGGCCGUCCAGUGU
rfam:Schistosoma rodhaini strain Burundi genome assembly, scaffold: SROB_scaffold0014826